GUGUCAGCAGCCGCGGUAAGACGUAGGAUGCGAGCGUUGUCCGGAAUUAUUGGGCGUAAAGAGAACGUAGGCGGUUCCUUAAGUUUGGGGUUAAAGACCGAGGCUCAACCUCGGGAGUGCCCUGAAUACUGGGGGACUGGAGGACGGCAGAGGAAAGUGGAAUUCCCAGUGUAGCGGUGAAAUGCGUAGAUAUUGGGAGGAACACCAGUGGCGAAAGCGACUUUCUGGGCCGUUCCUGACGCUGAGGUUCGAAAGCGUGGGGAGCAAACAGGAUUAGAUACCCUGGUAGUCC
rnacentral:rRNA from 1 species